ACUAAAAAAAUAAAAUUUAGCUGGGCCUGGUGGCGCAUGCCUAUAAUCCCAG
rnacentral:antisense_RNA from 1 species